CGCAUCAAACGCCUGUCGUUGGCAAACUGAGCGUCGUUAAGUGCUGAGCGUAAGACAAAAUACACACAGAGAGAAUGAUCAAGCACGAGGGCUAAACUCCUGCUGCUGACUAAGGUGGACCUUGUGAGGCCAUUUAGCGAAUGCAAAGAAUGCAAAAAACUCGCUCACUUUGAGACGCGGCCUCACAUACAAAUCAAAUUUAAUAAACCAGUCAAGAAUUUGUAUUAAUCAAUAGAAGGUAAAAGCAAAGCACAGCUGCUGUCACACAAAAAUAUUAUUCAAACAAAAAAUAAUAAUAUAAUUGCUGACAGUGUCGACUACCGUGCUGCAGCCUCUUUGAUCUCCACACUGUUAUAUGGACAUAUGUAUAUAUAUAUAUGUAUCUAUG